rnacentral:tRNA from 1 species
GCGCCGGUGGUGUAAGGCGAACAUCGCUGCCCGGAAAGCAGAAGAUGCGGGUUCGAGUCCCGCCCGGUGCA